rnacentral:rRNA from 1 species
GACGAACGCUGGCGGCGUGCUUAACACAUGCAAGUCGAACGAUGAACCCGGAGCUUGCUCCGGUGGAUUAGUGGCGAACGGGUGAGUAACACAUGAGUAACCUGCCCUUGACUCUGGGAUAACUGCGGGAAACUGUAGCUAAUACCGGAUACGACCCUCGGCGGCAUCGCCAGGGGGUGGAAAGAAUUUCGGUCAAGGAUGGACUCGCGGCCUAUCAGCUAGUUGGUGAGGUAACGGCGCACCAAGGCGACGACGGGUAGCCGGCCUGAGAGGGUGACCGGCCACACUGGGACUGAGGCACGGCCCAGAAUCCUACGGGAGGCAGCAGUGGGGAAUAUUGCACAAUGGGCGCAAGCCUGAUGCAGCAACGCCGCGUGAGGGAUGACGGCCUUCGGGUUGUAAACCUCUUUUAGUAGGGAAGAAGCGAAAGUGACGGUACCUGCAGAAAAAGCACCGGCUAACUACGUGCCAGCCGCCGCCGUAA